CAGGACUCAGGAAAGGGGCUCUCCGUGGUAGCAGGAGCCCAGUCCCUCAGGGGAAGUAGGGGGCUGCCUGAAGCGCGGAGCUACUAAACUGAGUCCUGCACACCUCAAAUGCUGGCGGACACCCUUCUCCCACCCACUUUCCUCAGGUCAAGUGAGAAACAUUUGAGCCUAUGACUUUGCCAAAGGAGUCUCAAAGGAAUGACUGUCCUCAUCUCCAAAGUCAAAGCUGGGUCAAACCACACCCACAAAUAGCCCAUUUGAAGAGGAGAAGAGGAGGGAAUGGAAACUACGAUUUUCUUCUAACGUCAUCCGUUAGUUGGCGUCUACCCGUGGCGGAUACAGGAGGAGGGAGCAGGAGAAAGCGGCGAGAGAAGUUCUGACACCUCUGAGAGGAAGGAGGCCUGGGCCAGAGGAGUCGCAGACCGCAGUACAGUUACAAGAAAGGUUUGGCCAGACCGCUGAGGAGCCCUGGAGCCAAAGUCAACCACUGGAGAAGUCCCCCUUCCGUGCUAAGUCAUUGCUUGGGAGCAGCUCGUGGGGAGUGUGGCCUUCGUAUGAACACAGUGGCGGAUCCUGAAGGACAGCAUCUCGGGUGACAAUCAGUUAUACUCCCCACAGCAGGAGAUCCGAGUUGCGUAUUUCGUGGCUGUCACGCGUAUCAUUUCCAUCCUACAUGUGAAAAACAGAUCCUGAGGGUUUCCUCCAAUUCGUUUCUCUGGUUAACUAAC